CUCCAAAAACUAAAACCUAACACACCUUUUUGAGAAGACAAACAGUUCGGUGAACUAAAACUUUCAUUCUGCACGAAGUCCGAGAAAGGGCCGAACACACCCCUCUUCGAAAGACAAACAGUUCGGUGCACUAAAACUUUCAUUCUGCACGAAGUCCGAGAAAGGGCCGAACACACCCCUUCUUCGAAAGACAAACAGUUCAGUGCACUAAAGCUUUUAUUCUGCACGAAGUCCGAGAAAGGGCCGAACACACCUUCUUCAAAAGACAGACAAUUCGGUGCACUAAAACCUUCAUUCCGCAUGAAGUCCAAGAAAGGGCCGAACACACUUCCUCCGAAAGACAGACAGUUUAGUGUACUAAAACUUUCAUUCUGCACGAAGUCCAAAAGAAAGGGCCGAACACACACCUUCUCCAAAAGACAGACAGUUCAGUACAUUAAAACUUUUAUUUUGC
rnacentral:lncRNA from 1 species